UACGGGGGGGGCAAGCGUUGUUCGGAAUUACUGGGCGUAAAGGGCCAGUAGGCGGCCAACUAAGUCCGACGUGAAAUCCCCAGGCUUAACCUGGGAACUGCGUCGGAUACUGGAUGGCUUGAAUUCGGGAGAGGGAUGCAGAAUUCCAGGUGUAGCGGUGAAAUGCGUAGAUAUCUGGAGGAAUACAGAUGGCGAAGGCAAUCCCCUGGACCUGUACUGACGCUCAUGCACGAAAGCGUGGGGAGCAAACAGG
rnacentral:rRNA from 1 species